rnacentral:hammerhead_ribozyme from 1 species
AUCCAGCUGGCGAGUCCUAAAUAGGACGAAAAUUUCUUCUUGGAU